GCUGUGAAAGCCCUCGAUUCUCUGUCUAUCGGUAGACGGCCUACGCACGGGAACGACGGAGAUUUUUUCAACUACUUGAUAGUCCCUCUUUGCCUCGCUCUCUUAAGUUGAUGCCUAUGCGUCUGCGCGGGAAUGACGAUU
rnacentral:antisense_RNA from 1 species